CCAAUAGCGUAUAUUAAAGUUGUUGCAGUUAAAAAGCUCGUAGUUGAACUUCGGGGUCUACCCAUUGGUCAGGCUUAAUUGUCUGUACUGGUGAGAUGGAUCUCUACCUUCUGAGGAACUUUCAUGCCAUUUAGUUGGUGUGAUGGGAAAUCAGGACUAUUACUUUGAAAAAAUUAGAGUGUUUAAAGCAGGCUAACGUCUGAAUACAUUAGCAUGGAAUAAUGAAAUAGGACGGACUGAUUCUAUUUCGUUGGUUUCUAGGAUCACCGUAAUGAUUAAUAUGGAUAGUUGGGGGCAUUAGUAUUCAAUUGUCAGAGGUGAAAUUCUUGGAUUUAUUGAAGACUAACUACUGCGAAAGCAUUUGCCAAGGAUGUUUUCAUUAAUCAAGAACGAAAGUUAGGGGAUCGAAGACGAUCAGAUACCGUCGUAGUCUUAACCAUAAACUAUGCCGACUAGGGAUCGGACGAAGUUAAUUUUUUAAUGACGCGUUCGGCACCUUACG
rnacentral:rRNA from 1 species